ACACUCCUGCGGGAGGCAGCAGUGGGGAAUUUUACGCAAUGGGGGAAACCCUGACGUAGCGACACCGCGUGAGCGAAGAAGCCCUUUGGGGUGUAAAGCUCUGUCAGCUGGAACGAAAACAAUGACGGUACCAGCAGAGGAAGCAUCGGCUAACUACGUGCCAGCAGCCGCGGUAAGACGUAGGAUGCGAGCGUUGUCCGGAUUUAUUGGGCGUAAAGAGUUCGUAGGUGGUUUGUUAAGUUUGGUGUUAAAGAUCGGGGCUCAACCCUGGGACUGCACUGAAUACUGGCAGACUCGAGUGUGGUAGAGGCUAGUGGAAUUCCCAGUGUAGCGGUGAAAUGCGUAGAUAUUGGGAAGAACACCGGUGGCGUAGGCGACUAGCUGGGCCAUAACUGACGCUGAGGAACGAAAGCCAGGGGAGCGAAUGGGAUUAGAAACCCGGGUAGUCCCAUGAU
rnacentral:rRNA from 1 species